rnacentral:rRNA from 1 species
ACACUCCUGCGGGAGGCAGCAGUGGGGAAUAUUGCACAAUGGGCGCAAGCCUGAUGCAGCCAUGCCGCGUGUAUGAAGAAGGCCUUCGGGUUGUAAAGUACUUUCAGCGGGGAGGAAGGCGAUAAGGUUAAUAACCUUGUUGAUUGACGUUACCCGCAGAAGAAGCACCGGCUAACUCCGUGCCAGCAGCCGCGGUAAUACGGAGGGUGCAAGCGUUAAUCGGAAUUACUGGGCGUAAAGCGCACGCAGGCGGUCUGUCAAGUCGGAUGUGAAAUCCCCGGGCUCAACCUGGGAACUGCAUUCGAAACUGGCAGGCUAGAGUCUUGUAGAGGGGGGUAGAAUUCCAGGUGUAGCGGUGAAAUGCGUAGAGAUCUGGAGGAAUACCGGUGGCGAAGGCGGCCCCCUGGACAAAGACUGACGCUCAGGUGCGAAAGCGUGGGGAGCAAACAGGAUUAGAAACCCGGGUAGUCC